UACGGAGGGCGCAAGCGUUGUUCGGAAUUACUGGGCGUAAAGCGCGUGUAGGUGGCCUGGCAAGUCGGGUGUGAAAUCCCGGAGCUCAACUCCGGAACUGCAUCCGAUACUGCCAAGCUCGAGUCUCGGAGAGGAUGGCGGAAUUUCCGGUGUAGAGGUGAAAUUCGUAGAUAUCGGAAGGAACACCAGUGGCGAAGGCGGCCGUCUGGACGAUGACUGACACUGAGACGCGAAAGCGUGGGGAACAAACAGG
rnacentral:rRNA from 1 species